rnacentral:misc_RNA from 1 species
GGGAAAUAACGAAAUAAAAUUUAUAAAUUAAUCUUUAAUAUCAUCAAUAAUUUCUGAUACAUAGAAAUUUCAGUUGAAAUAUUGUAAAAUGAAAACUACAAGCAUUUUAUGCCUAACCAUCAAUAUCUGAUAUUUCCAUCAAAGUCUCAAUAUUUUAGUCCAUGCUUGACAGUAUCUUGAACUUUCCAGAAACAUGCUUACACCAGAAUAUUUCCAUUACAUCAUUGCAGGAAGGUGUCCAGAACAGAAGGUUCUCUAGGCUCUAGCACUAAAUAUCAUAUUUUGACUCCAAACAAAAUUCUAGAAAUAUUAUGAUCACAAUGAAGAAAUACUUGAGUCUUAGACACUGAAAAGUAAGCCUGCAAAUGAGCUCAGACUCGACUCAUUUAUAAAACAGCCUCAAAAUUUAGACUCAAGCUUGCCUCAUUUAUGAAACAAGUAAAACAAGCAAAAUACAACCCUAUUCAUAUAUGGCUCGUUGUUUAAAUGUAGACAAACAAGUUCAAAUCAAACUCAACUCAACUCAACUCAAC